UGGGGUUGUCCAGCACCAUCAAUGCCUCACAGCCUCAGCUGGGCGUCACCUCCUCCAGGAAGCCUUCCCUAGGCCCAUCUAUUGGGGCCCAACUCCAUCUGUGCCUGAGACUCAGAGAAGCUGCUGCAGCCCUGGGGUGGGACACAGGAUGCAGGGGUGGCCACGGGCCCACGACGGGCCCACGACGGGCCCACGGGCAUGCGGAUGCAGACCCGGCCUCCUCAGCUCCUGCAGGUGGGCCCUGGGAUCCCUUGAGUCCACUGCCCGUGUCCACCCCAGGCCAGACCCAGGGUGGGACCCCGGCGGCAGAGGCGGCAGCAGCCACCAGGGGGCACUGUUGGCCAGCGCUGGCUGAGCUGGCAGCUUCGGAGUGGCCGGACCAGCUCCAUGGGGUUCAUUUGCUGAGAGCGGCUGCAGCCCCUGGCUGAGGGGGCAGAGGGGCCAAGGAGUGAGGAGCUUCCAGAAUCGCACUGGGCUGGGGCUCUCUGGGCUGCAAACGGUGUCAGGGGGCUGGCUGGCCGGCAGGCUCACCCGGAUUCUCAGGCCCUCCCCAGGUCCUGCUGUCUUCUGCAAACAGGGCCUGGAGGCACCUCCCGGGCUCCUGCAGUGGGGACCUGGGUGCCGAGAGCCCUGCUGUCCGAGGGGCAGAAGACAUGAGAGCUGGACACCAGGCCUUGCUGCAACGCCUCAGCAAGCCCAGGAUGGGCAGCUGCGUGAUGAGGUCCCCUGCCCUGCCCUGUGCUGCUUUUUUUUUGAGACGGAGUCUUGGUCUUUCGCCCAGGCCGGACUGCAGUGGCGCUAUUUCGGCUCACUGCAAGCUCCGCCUCCCGGGUUCACACCAUUCUCCUGCCUCAGCCUCCUAAGUAGCUGGGAUUACACCUGUGCUGGUUUUAUGGAACCGGCCUUCUUGGGGUCCCUUGGGAGCUGCGUGCAGAGGAGAGGAAGUGGUACUCAAAGGUCAGAACCGAGACCAGGCGAUGUUGAAAUGUAUGGGGAUGUAUCCGGGAGCUCAGGGACCAUCUGCCUCUUAUGUGUGCAAGCCUGGGCCACAGAUACCCUAGACAGGAAAACACGCCUGUGGACAGCAGCCACAGUGGCCGCAGCCCCUCCCUCGUGCCUCAGUGCUCCCUAAGGCUCCGGAAGCUUGGCCCGGUCCCUGAGAGAAGACCAGGAAUGAGUAAAGCUGACGUUUCCAUCACUGAGUCUGUCGGAGGCUGGAGUCAAAGAGGAGCUGAUGUACAGGCAGCGGUGCCACAGCUUGACACUCCUGAGCCUGUGACCCAACUUUGGGCUGUGCCGUCAUCUCGGCUGCUGAGUGUUCAGCUCAAGCUGACAAGACAGGCCGUGAAGAGCAGUGGGUCCUGCUGGCAGUGAGGCUGCGUGGGAGAGGCGCUGGGAGCGGGUGAACAUGGAGAACCAGAUUCCCAGAGCCCAGAACCUCCGAGCAUCGUCCAAGACCCCCUUGAAAUCAACUUUCUCCACUUUCUAAAUCGGUGGAGACAGAGAGAAAACGUGUUUUUCUUCCGGAAUUGAAUUGCUCUCCUGCAGACGCAUGCCUCAAACUCUGGUCCUGGGCAUCCGGUUGGAUUUCGGAGGAGCCUGUGGAGGGCAGAGGUCACAGCACCUGAGUUCGGCAGUGUGACCCUGGCACCGGGGAGGCGCCUCGUCCGCCCCUGCCCUAAUAUCUGCAAUGUCCUGAUGGAGUCUUGCAGAAUUAGCGAUGUCUAAGAGUUACAGGUGGGGAAUUCACCCUGCCCCGAGCUCUGGGAGAGGAAGCCCGGAGCCAGCCUCGCAGCCUGAGACAGAACAUGAUGGAGAGGGCAAAAUAGCCCCUGGAUCACCCAACGUUAGCUCAGAUCAUCCACAAUAAAAGCAAACAAACAAAAAGCAAAAGCUCCUGCGAAGUGUCUACAUGUCCACGUAGCAGAAUUGGGUCUAUAAAUUACGUACGGUGAUUCCACGCAACCUCGAAAAAGAAUGAGAUAAGGAAUCAUCCAUAAGAU
rnacentral:lncRNA from 10 species